rnacentral:rRNA from 1 species
GCGCGAAAACUUUACCAUGCGGGCAACCGUGAUAAGGAAACCCCGAGUGCCAGCACAGGCUGGCUGUCCGCCAGUUUAAAUAACUGGUGAAGAAAGGGCCGGGCAAGACCGGUGCCAGCCGCCGCGGUAAUACCGGCGGCUCGAGUGGUGGCCGCUAUUACUGGGCUUAAAGGGUCCGUAGCUUGAUAACUGGGUCCCUUGAGAAAUCCGCUGGCUUAACUUGCGGGCGUUCAGGGGAAACUUGUUUUCUUGGGACCGGGAGAGGUGAGGGGUACUGCCGGGGUAGGAGUGAAAUCCUGUAAUCCCGGUGGGACCACCUAUGGCGAAGGCAUCUCACCAGAACGGGUCCGACAGUGAGGGACGAAAGCUGGGGGAGCAAACCGGAUUAGAUGCCCUGGUA